rnacentral:sRNA from 21 species
UAGAUGAGAACUAAAUGACACACACAUAUCGACACCUGUUCCAGGGUGCCCUUCGGCCAUUUUUGGCACGCGGGUUUGGAGCAGGGAUAUGUGGAGGACUAAC